ACUCCUACGGGAGGCAGCAGUGGGAAUAUUGCACAAUGGGCGCAAGCCUGAUGCAGCCAUGCCGCGUGUGUGAAGAAGGCCUUCGGGUUGUAAAGCACUUUCAGUUGAUGAGGAAAGGUUGUGUCGUUAAAUAGCCGGCAUCAUUUGACGUUAUGCAACAUGAAGAAGACACCGGCUAACUCCGUGCCAGCAGCCGCGGUAAUACGGAGGGUGCGAGCGUUAAUCGGAAUUACUGGGCGUAAAGCGCAUGCAGGUGGUUUGUUAAGUCAGAUGUGAAAGCCCGGGCUCAAGCCUGCAGC
rnacentral:rRNA from 1 species